rnacentral:rRNA from 1 species
ACACGUAGGGCGCGAGCGUUGUCCGGAAUCACUGGGCGUAAAGGGCUCGCAGGCGGCCCGUCGCGUCGGCCGUGAAAGCCCGGGGCUCAACCCCGGAGGAGCGGUCGAUACGGGCGGGCUAGAGGGCGGUAGAGGGGAGUGGAACUCCCGGUGUAGCGGUGAAAUGCGCAGAUAUCGGGAGGAACACCGGUGGCGAAGGCGGCUCCCUGGACCGCACCUGACGCUCAGGAGCGAAAGCGUGGGUAGCGAACAGGAUUAGGUACCCUGGUAGUCCACGCCGUAAACGUUGGGCGCUGGGCGUGGGGUCCUCCCACGGAUUCCGCGCCGUAGCUAACGCGUUAAGCGCCCCGCCUGGGGAGUACGGCCGCAAGGCUAAA